rnacentral:tRNA from 1 species
GCUGGCGUAGCUCAGGGGAAGAGCAACUGCCUUGUAAGCAGUGGGUCGGGGGUUCAA